GUUGGUUUGUUUGUUUCUGUCUAUGAAGGAAAACAUGAUAGCGUGGAAAUUUCACUCCACAACACUAUUCUGCUCCUAUGCACACAGUCGGCUGUGUUUAGUGAAUCCAACAGCUCCUGUGAUGGAAUGAA